rnacentral:rRNA from 1 species
UGGGGAAUAUUGCACAAUGGGCGCAAGCCUGAUGCAGCAACGCCGCGUGAGGGACGACGGCCUUCGGGUUGUAAACCUCUUUUAGUAGGGAAGAAGCGAAAGUGACGGUACCUGCAGAAAAACGCACCGGCUAACUACGUGCCAGCAGCCGCGGUAAUACGUAGGGUGCGAGCGUUGUCCGGAAUUAUUGGGCGUAAAGAGCUCGUAGGCGGUCUGUCGCGUCUGCUGUGAAAACCCGAGGCUCAACCUCGGGCCUGCAGUGGGUACGGGCAGACUAGAGUGCGGUAGGGGAGAAUGGAAUUCCUGGUGUAGCGGUGGAAUGCGCAGAUAUCAGGAGGAACACCGAUGGCGAAGGCAGUUCUCUGGGCCGUAACUGACGCUGAGGAGCGAAAGCGUGGGGAGCGAACAGGAUUAGAUACCCUGGUAGUCCACGCCGUAAACGUUGGGCGCUAGAUGUGGGGACCAUUCCACGGUUUCCGUGUCGCAGCUAACGCAUUAAGCGCCCCGCCUGGGGAGUACGGCCGCAAGGCUAAAA